rnacentral:lncRNA from 1 species
GACGGAGGCGAUUUCGUGGUGACCACUGUUCGUCGAAGCUAGAGACAGGAAUAAUUUGGGGCUUUUCGUUAAAUCCCCAAAUUGGAAGUAUGAGUUGCCAGUACUUGCGGGCUGCAAGAUUUAGAUGUGAUCGGACGGUGGCUCGGUCACCAGGAAUCGAAGUUACGCCACCCUGACAAUUUUCUCGCUAUAGAGAGCUGUCUUACCUCUGAAGAAGCCAUUGUUGAGAUCUGUUAUUGGAGAGAGGAGAAAAGAAGACACCGAAAAAUAAAAAUUGCAGCCAACCCCCAUUUGAGUUCUGAAAUCUAGAAGAUGAA